UACGUAGGGUGCGAGCGUUGUCCGGAAUUAUUGGGCGUAAAGGGCUCGUAGGCGGUCUGUCGCGUCGAAAGUGAAAACUCAGGGCUUAACCCUGAGCCUGCUUCCGAUACGGGCAGACUAGAGGUAUGCAGGGGAGAACGGAAUUCCUGGUGUAGCGGUGAAAUGCGCAGAUAUCAGGAGGAACACCGGUGGCGAAGGCGGGUCUCUGGGCCGUAACUGACGCUGAGGAGCGAAAGCGUGGGGAGCGAACAGG
rnacentral:rRNA from 1 species